GGUGAAGACAGAUCCAGCAAAGGUCAAAGCAGUGCAGGAAUGGCCUGUUCCUAAGCCAUGAAGGGAACUCUCCUGCUUCCUUGGGUUUGCUAACUUUUACCGACACUUCAUCAGAAACUACAGUCAAGUUGCUGCUCCCUUCACUCGUCUCACCUCCUCUAAGGUACUAAUAAGCAGUUCAUUGUGGACGUCGACGCAUCAGACGUAGCAGUAGGGGCACUGCUAUCCCACAGAUGCGAACCUCAAGGCUCUCAGAAUACCAAGCCAGGAGCACUUUCCCGCCAGUAUUCCUCGGAUAAUGAACAAUCCUUCCCCAGCUCCCAUUCUACCUGCCACCUGCAGGGUGGGUGCUCUCACCUGGGAUAUUGAGGAGGUCAGAACCCCAAAGUUUUUAUCAGCGUAUGUGGCCUAUAUCAGAAAUAUUUCUUAGUAUUCCUGUGUUUCUGUAUUUGAGUAAUUAGCUUUUCUUGUUACCUUGUAUUCAUGUUUCUGUUUGUGUACUAAAAGUCUUCAUGUUUUCUUGUUUGUUUUCUCCCUUGACUCUGCUUCUAGUAUUUGUUAGUUAUUUGGAUUGUUAUCUACAUGGCUCAAUUAUUUGUUGAAAAACAAUUAAACCCAUCUACCAAGUUUGGCAUUCAUCAGUUGAUGGAGGCCUAUGUAUGACUUCAGUUCUG